GAUGAACGCUGGCGGCGUGCUUAACACAUGCAAGUCGAACGGAAAGGCCGAAGCUUGCUUCGGUACUCGAGUGGCGAACGGGUGAGUAACACGUGGGUGAUCUGCCCUGUACUUCGGGAUAAGCUUGGGAAACUGGGUCUAAUACCGGAUAUGACGAUCUCUUGGAUGGGGUUGUGGAAAGCUUUUGCGGUAUGGGAUGAGCUCGCGGCCUAUCAGCUUGUUGGUGGGGUAAUGGCCUACCAAGGCGUCGACGGGUAGCCGGCCUGAGAGGGUGUACGGCCACAUUGGGACUGGGAUACGGCCCAGACUCCUACGGGAGGCAGCAGUGGGGAAUAUUGCACAAUGGGCGCAAGCCUGAUGCAGCGACGCCGCGUGGGGGAUGACGGCCUUCGGGUUGUAAACUCCUUUCGCAAUCGACGAAGCCUUUUGGUGACGGUAGGUUGAGAAGAAGCACCGGCUAACUACGUG
rnacentral:rRNA from 1 species